ensembl:lncRNA
CCCAUAGUCAUUUUAUGGUCACUCACAUAUCACAUGAAUACACAUGAGAAAAUUACCUUUAAAACUGCUAAAUGUUCUUUGCAACCCAUGACAAUGUGUAGAAUUGCAGGAAAUAAGCUUUAAACCUGCAAAAUUCUCUACACCAACAAGAGGGUUGUGAACAGUUUGUGUCAUGAACAGUGCUUGUGCCCAAAGCAUUGGGGAACCCCGCCAGUGUAAUAGACGUGUGUAAAACCCAGAUAAAACAUACAUUUAAGCUGUGUCAUAAGUAGACCAUUAGAACGCUGCAAUAAUGUCUAUGAUUACUGGUCAAAUGAUAUUUACAAAUGGUUUAUUUCUUGUGUUCCAUUUUAUUAUUCCACAUUCGAUAUUAUUCCACCACCUCGUCGCGUUUCGGCAGGACACAACUGCAAUGUAUAUGGUUUAAUUAAUUUAAGGCCACAGUAUCUUGCCAGCACAUCCCAGUGACCGACAUAGCAGUCUUUUCUUUACAAAAAAAAUGCAUUGAGAAGCAUUAUUCAACCCUCAAGCCAGACAAACAUUUACAAAGAGUAUUUGUACACACACACACACACACACACACACACACACACUAGGCUUUAAUUGUGAUUGUUUUUGACACACAAGAUUGAAACAAAUGUCUUUUGACUACAAGUAAGAUAACAAAAAUGUUGACAUGUUACGCAUAAGUUCCUCAAAAAUCAGACAUAAGAAUCACUGAACGAGGACUACCAUUGUUAAACAGACAGGGAAGCAAUUCAUAAAGCAAAUAAAAAAAUGUAACAUGGUUGUGACUGUAGAAAUAAUAAAAUAAAUAGUAUCAAAUCAAAUGUAUUUAUAUAGCCCUUCGUACAUCAGCUGAUAUCUCAAAGUGCUGUACAGAAACCCAGCCUAAAACCCCAAACAGCAAGCAAUGCAGGUGUAGAAGCACGGUGGCUAGGAAAAACUCCCUAGAAAGGCCAAAACCUAGGAAGAAACCUAGAGAGGAACCAGGCUAUGAGGGGUAGCCAGUCCUCUUCUGGCUGUGCCGGGUGGAGAUUAUAACAGAACAUGGCCAAGAUGUUCAAAUGUUCAUAAAUGACCAGCAUGGUCAAAUAAUAAUCACAGUAGUUGUCGAGGGUGCAGCAAGUCAGCACCUCAGGAGUAAAUGUCAGUUGGUUUUUGUGACGUAGAAGUCCGUCACUGGCCGCGGGCAGCAUUUGGUUCUUUAACGCACGCACACAUUCAUCACUUCUUCCUUCACAGAUAAGGUAACAAUGUGGGUCAGCACACAAGUUAACUUGUCUGUCUUAGUACAUACAUUUCACACUUAUGUCAAUGUUCAUAGUUAAUAUAAGCAAUAUGUAUUAUACUUAUCUAUGUUGUGGAUGAGCGCUUUGUUUGUUUAUUUGUUUGUUCUGUUCCUCUAUCUCUGUAGCUUCCGGGGUAUGCUGGAUAAGGACCCGAGCUAAGGGAAUGGGCUGACUUUGUAGUGCCUGUCCCAAAUGGCUCAUUAAUGUAAGUGUGCAUAUUGAAAGACACUGUCAGUAGUGAUGUCAUUUGGUAAAUGUUAUGAUAUUGUUUCAUAAACAUGUUGAAAUGUAUAUCCUUUAGUAUGUUUAGUUAAUGGAAAAUGUAGGUUUGUAUAGGUAAUUGCUUAAUUAAUUAGUGUUAAUUGUUCUGAGGGGAGGGGCUAGCCCUACAAAAGGAGCCUCUUUCAGUUCAUGGAGAGGCCAUUUGGGAUUGAGCUGUGAAUGGGGCAGCAUUGGUUUUUAGCUGUCCCAUAAGGUAUAUGUUUGAUGGCAGUACUGUUGGUUUUUGUUCCGGAAUCACUUUGUAAAUAAACACCCUUGUACAGAAGAACAUUUGCGACUCUGCCAUCUUUUUUAUUUUGAUAGCGUUUAGGUUUUCCAGUAUAGCCUUCUGGCCUACUCUAAGUGACAUGUGGUGGGAUGGUGCACCGCAAAUCUGAAUUCCAAUGAGAGGUAAAGGAAUGCGUACAGGAUUGCGUUCUCAGCAGCAGCAUCAACUGUCAGAAAAGGUACCUGAAGUUGUCAUAGCCAAUCAUGCUGUCUCUAGAGAGUUGAAAACAGUAUGUCUGGGACCGGUAGCACGUCCGGUGAACAGGUCAGGAUUCCAUAGCCACAGGCAGAACAGUUGAAACUGGAGCAGCAGCACGGCCAGGUGGACUGGGGACAGCAAGGAGUCCUUAUGCCAGGUAGUCCUGAGGCAUGGUCCUAGGGCUCAGGUCCUCAGAGAGAAAAAGAGAGAAUUAGAGAGCAUACUUAAAUUCACACAGGACACCGGAUAGGACAGGAGAAGUACUCCAGAUAUAACAAACUGACCCUAGCCCCCCCCGACAAACUACUGCAGCAUAAAUACUGGAGGCUGAGACAAGAGGGGUCAGGAGACACUGUGGCCCCAUCCGAUGAUACCCCCGGACAGGGCCAAACAGGAAGGAUAUAACCCCACCCACUUUGCCAAAGCACAGUAGAAAUUCUAUUUGCUAAAGACUUAAUUAGUACUUUUAUGAGAACUAAAAAGCCUGGUAAUGAAAUUAAGAGUGUAUUUAAAAAGGAAUGGACACAACAAUUGCAGCUAUAAUGCAUAGUCUUUACAGUGGCAUAGAAAUAACAUUUACAGUGUUUUUGACAUGAACAAACACAUGAAUGUUGUAUCUGAAAUCAAUGAUUUUCAGCUCCAAAGAUUAGGGCCUAUUGGUAACUUCAAAAUAGACCAGAAAGUAAUUGACCUGUUUUGUGGUCAUGCAUGUCCAUUAUUUUUGUACAGACCUUCCCUAGAACUUAUCUUCAAAAAUUACAGAGGUCUGAUUAUUAAAUAACACAAGUAAUCAACUUUCUACAACACUAAUAACAAUAUUGACUUCACCAAAAAAGUAUGACAUCCCACAUUCACCCCAACAUGGGGCUAAUGUCCCAUGUACAACUACUCAAACAGCAGCCAAACCUUCAAUACAUGCAUGCAGUUAAUUAAUUUAACGUUUCGCUCAAUGACUAGAGAUGUUCUGAAAACUGACUGUCCUGUAGGUGUAAAUUAUUGUCUGCUUUGUUGUCUAUUCACGAGUAGGCAGGCAGGCAAAUGAGUACUAAAGGUGAGACAGGGUUAACUCACACAAACAACUGUCCAGGGUCCUUUGGAUUUGUGAACAGGCACAUGUGGCGGUCUCAAUGGGAUUUCUGGACCGGAGUGCAGCCUUUAAUGACAGUUAGUUAAUGACACAUCUGUUGACGUGAUGUGUUGAGUAUGAUUCCCUUGUUCCUCUGGUUGGAACUAGGCUGAAAUGCAUCAUCAUUGGAAUGAAGGGAGAGGAAACGAGGUAGACAACUACUGUACAUUUUAGUCAUUUAGCAGACACUUAUCCAGAGUGAUUUACAGUAGUGAGCGCAUACAUUUUCAUACUGGUCCCCCGCGGGAAUCUAACCCACAACCCUGGCUUUGCAAGCGGAAUGCUCUACCAACUGAGCCACACUGUAUCGAGAUGCACCAAUGGAAGCAGUGUGGAAAUGCAGCCUUAGUCUCAGCUCCACUAGGCCUUGUCAGACCUCAUUGUUCUCUUCCCACCGACAGAGUGGGUCACGGGCUGUCAUUGCAUUAGUCAUUGCUGCAGAGCUAUUAACCCCAGCUUGGGUUGUCCUGGCCGGGCUAUCUACUCGUGGUGUUUUGGCUGCGCUGCCAUCAGUCUUCACCGCAGGGCUUAACCCAGCCCGAGUUCCAGGGGCCGGGAUAGAGCUAUCUCCAGCUUUCCGUACUUUAGGAGGACUACCCCGAGUGGCAGGGCCACCAUCCCCAGUGUUAGUCACAAGAAUACCCCCAGGUCGAGACACUGGGGUACGGGUACUACCCGUGGCUUGUGUAACGUUGGCCAGCUACCCCCAGUCGUUGCCACAGGGGUAGUAGUGAUAUGUUCAGUUGGUGGGGAUUAAACGUCCAAGCGUGGCUGUUGUCGUGUUCUCUUCACAGUUGGAGCCUCCAAGCCAUCUGCCAAGCCUCCCCCUCCCUUCUGUGUCAGCAAGCAAUCAUUUUCCUUUGAUGUCACCAAGCCGUCUUUUGCUUUGAGUGAUCAAGCUAUAAUUUUCCUUUGGUGGGCCCGAGCUAUCCUCUUUUUGUGGGACCAAGUUGUUAGUUUCUUUCUGAGACGUUGCGCUACCCUUUUUUUCUGUGUGACAGCUACCCUUGUCCUUCAGUGUCACAGAGCUCUUCUUUCCAUUGUGUUGGACCAGGUUAUCCUUGCGCUUUGGUGUGACCAUACCAUCCUUUCCCUUCCGCCCCACUACAAUGCCCUUGUGUUCAGAGAGAGCCUUCACCAGUACGGAUGCCUCUCCCUUGGUCAGAGACAGGCCCCAGCCUCCUGGAUCACGCUCACCCACCGCCUGCGGUUUCUCCAAUGGCCUCCAGAUGGCACUGUUUAGGGAGGCGCUGUCCACAAGGGGAUACUUCAUAGCAGAAAGCCUAUUGAUCAAGUUUUUAUUGAUACGGGACUUCUCUGUAGGAGUGGAUAUGUCGUCCUUCUCUUUGGAAGUCUCUUCUCCCAUGGAUCCAUUAGACAGGGGCCUGUGGUUCCUCCUUACCUACCGCUGGCCUCUCCUCUGCUGGGCUGUCUGAGGACUGCUCAGCCUCCCCAGACACUCUACCCUGGUCCUUCUUCUCAGGGUCAGUGGCAGACAGAGCACCGUGGGCUAGGGGUCAGCGAGAGGUGCAGAUAAUCCAGUGUGUACACUCCUUUUCCUCAGCGCUCUCCUUCUCCACAGCCUCCUUGGCUGCUGAGGUGGUGUUGGUGGUGGAGGUGGCUGUUGAUGGUCUCUUCAUAACCAUCACUGUGCAGACCGCUCCGCCUGC